rnacentral:rRNA from 1 species
GACGUAGGGCGCAAGCGUUGUCCGGAAUUACUGGGCGUAAAGCGUGCGCAGGCGGUUUUGUAAGACAGGCGUGAAAUCCCCCGAGCUCAACUUGGGAAUUGCGCUUGUGACUGCAAGGCGUAGAGUGUGUCAGAGGGGGGUAGAAUUCCACGUGUAGCAGUGAAAUGCGUAGAGAUGUGGGAGGAACACCGAUGGCGAAGGCAGCCUCCUGGGCCAAUACGUGACGCUCGAUGCACGAAAGCGUGGGGAGCAAACAGG